GGGACGUUAGCUCAGUCGGUAGAGCAGCGGACUUUUAAUCCGUUGGUCGGCGGUUCGAGCCCGCCACGUCCUACCA
rnacentral:tRNA from 1 species